CACAAUAUAAUUCAAUAGACUUUAAAUUAACAUCCUACAAGGCUAGCUCUGUUUAUACGAAGCUAAAAUUACUAGUUUUCUGGCUUACUAGUAUUACCUUGCUAUUUUAACUUGAAAAACUAGCCUCGUGUAUUCCGGGCUUACAUUUUGACUGUGAUAUACCUGAUGAUGAAAUUUUAAUUCGAAGCUGGUUGUAUAAUAACCUUAUCAUAAUACUCCAGGCAAUUUAUUUAUAUAUUUAUUUACGAGUAUUAACCAUUUUAAUAAGUUUUGUUUUUACUUUAUUAUUUUAU